rnacentral:tRNA from 1 species
GGAGACGUGACUGAGUGGCUUAAGGUGCCCGGUUUAGGUCCGGGUGAGCCGUGUUCCCGUAAGCUGUGAGAGGUGGACCGGGGUAAAGGCUCCGGGGGUUCGAAUCCCUCCGUCUCCG